AGCUAUACAUGCAGUCGACGCUUCUUUUCCCACCGGAGCUUGCUCCACCGGGAAAAGAGGAGUGGCGAACGGGUGAGUAACACGUGGGUAACCUGCCCAUCAGAAGGGGAUAACACUUGGAAACAGGUGCUAAUACCGUAUAACAAUCGAAACCGCAUGGUUUCGUUUUGAAAGGCGCUUUACGGUGCCGCUGAUGGAUGGACCCGCGGUGCAUUAGCUAGUUGGUGAGGUAACGGCUCACCAAGGCCACGAUGCAUAGCCGACCUGAGAGGGUGAUCGGCCACAUUGGGACUGAGACACGGCCCAAACUCCUACGGGAGGCAGCAGUAGGGAAUCUUCGGCAAUGGACGAAAGUCUGACCGAGCAACGCCGCGUGAGUGAAGAAGGUUUUCGGAUCGUAAAACUCUGUUGUUAGAGAAGAACAAGGGUGAGAGUAACUGUUCACCCCUUGACGGUAUCUAACCAGAAAGCCACGGCUAACUACGUGCCAGCAGCCGCGGUAAUACGUAGGUGGCAAGCGUUGUCCGGAUUUAUUGGGCGUAAAGCGAGCGCAGGCGGUUUCUUAAGUCUGAUGUGAAAGCCCCCGGCUCAACCGGGGAGGGUCAUUGGAAACUGGGAGACUUGAGUGCAGAAGAGGAGAGUGGAAUUCCAUGUGUAGCGGUGAAAUGCGUAGAUAUAUGGAGGAACACCAGUGGCGAAGGCGGCUCUCUGGUCUGUAACUGACGC
rnacentral:rRNA from 1 species